GCUGCUGUCCAGGGCAGGCAGCCGGCUGGCUGCCUGACACUCCCUUCCCUGGCCCCCUCCACGCCCUCUUCAGCACAGAGCUGUGGGAACAGCAGGGCUGGGGGACUGGCACAAGAGGGAUCCCAGAGGCCAGGGCCCCAGCCCAGCCUUCCCCUAAGACCAGGACUCACAAGUGGUUGUAGGAUGACAUUCAUUCGUUCAUUCAAUCAGCCAUUCAAAUAUUUAAUCAGCACACCUACACACACACACACACACACACACACACACACACACACACUGCAGUCACACACUCUAGGUGCUGGGGACAGAGCAGGAAACAAGACAGACAAAAAUAAAAAUUUCCUCAAAUGGCCAGACAUGGUGGCUCACUCCUGUAAACCCAGCACUUUGGGAAGCCAAGGCAGGAGGAUUGCUUGAGCCCAGAAGUUUGAGACCAGCCUGGGCAACAGAGUGAGACCCCAUCUCUACAAAAAAAUAAGCCUGUAGCCCCAGCUACUCAGGAGGCUGAGGCAAGAGGAUCACUUAAGCCCAGGAGGUCAAGGCUGCAGUGGGUUGUCAUCAUGCCACUGUGCUCCAGCCUGUAUGACAGAGCCAGAGCCAGACCCUAUCUAAAAAAAAAAAAAAAAUUAGCUGGGCGUAGUGGUGGGCACCUGUUAUCCCAGCCACUUGGGAGCCUGAGGCAGGAGAAUCGCUUGAACCCGGGAGGCGGAGGUUGCAGUGAGCCGAGAUCGUGCCACUGCACUCCAGCCAGGAAAGAGAGUGAGACUCUGUCUCAAAAAAAAAAGAAAAAAGAAAGAAAGAAAAUUCCUCACAAAGCCUUUAUCAGUAUCUGCACCUAGUGCAUUAUUAUUAUUAUUAUUAUUGUUUUUGACACAAAGUCUCACUCUGUCGCCCAGGCUGGAGUGCAGUGGCAUGAUCUCGGUUCACUGCAACCCACACCUCCCGGGUUCAAGUUAUUCUCCUGCCUCAACCUCCCGAGUAGCUGGAAUUACAGGCACACACCACCAAGCCUGGUUAAUUUUUUUUGUAUUUUUAGUAAAGACAGGGUUUUGCCAUGCUGGCCAGGCUGGUCUCGAACUCCAGACCUCAGGUGAUCCACCCUUCUCGGCCUCCCAAAGUGCUGGGAUUACAGGUGUGAGCCACCGUGCCUGGCCUAUUGUUAUUGCUAUUAUUGCCCCCCUCCAAAUUCCACUAGCCUGUGAAACUCAGGCUGGUUUCUCUUCCUCCAGGCAGCUCUCCAAACAGCUCAUGUUUUUCUUUCUUUUUUUUU
rnacentral:lncRNA from 10 species